UGUUGAAUGGUUUGAAGCCUCCCCUGCAUUUUGUUCCCGAGACUGAGGAACAGAGUCGUCUGAGAUGGUGGAGAUCUCAGACAACCCGACUGAAGAGCACAGCCCUUGUGCUUCCUCCCGGGCUCCACCCCCAGGACCCCAAGCAAGGUUCCAGCCUCUUUGAGGCACCAUUUCUUCCUCCAUAAAAUAGAACAUCACCUGCUUGCUGCUUCACCUUGCACUUUUAUCUUCUGGAGAUGGCUUCCUUUCCAAAUCUUUUCUAAAAUGUUAGAAUUCAGACCACAGUUCCUGAGCUUUGGAUGCAAACUCCUUGGCCCUGAAUCCCUGGAAGCCCUCCCCUGUGGAUGGUAUCAGCCAUCACAGCAGGAUGUGCUUUAAGAAUCCAAAUGAAUUCAGUUAUACCACGUGGUGGGACUUUUAAACUUGAGCUGAGCUUACUCAUUUCUGGUCGGCUAUUAAUCCUAUAGCUAAACCUGCAGGGAUGCUGAUGGCUGCUGGCCUGGGGCUUCCUCACAUAGAACUGCCAUGCUUCCUGCAGGGACGCUGGUGGGCGCUGGCCUGGGGCUUCCACAUACAAACCCCAUGCUUCCUGCAGGGAUGCUGAUGGGCGCUGGCAUGG
rnacentral:lncRNA from 1 species